rnacentral:lncRNA from 10 species
CUGGUAGAAAAGAGAACUCUGGUUACUCUCAAGGGAGCCCUGUGCAACUCUCAUGAAAAGGAGAUGACAAACCUCUGUGCAGGCAAGCUGGGGUGCAAAAAAGCAAGGACAAUAGCGAGCCCAUCCAGAGCUUAAAGGACGUUUAUGGAAUGUGUAUGACUCUGGAAAGAAGUACUAGUGAUGCGCAGACUGAAUGAAGAGGAAGGAACUAUAAAGGGCCCUUUUAGUCUCCUGCUUCUGGAAGUCUUAGGGUCUUACAAAUGGUAGUCAUAGCCAUCUUUCCCCUCUAUCUCCUAUACAUCUCCUGCCAGCCAUGCUGAUGCUACAGGGCCUCCCAAAGUGCCUGUCUGUUCACUCCUCUGGGCUUUGGUAUGUGCCAUUUCUUCUGCCUGGGAUGCCCUCCCUUCCACCCCUUCUGCACCUUGAAGUCCUUGAAGGUCCAAUGCCAGCAAUUCUUUCUCUUUGAAUCUUUCACUGAUCUUCCCCAAAUAAAGUUAAACACUUUCAACACUUCUCUGUCCUAAAACUUCACUUGCUGUAUACAAUUGUUUGUUCAAAUAUCUGCCUCAUCCUUAAGGGAUGGGAUUAUGCCUGUCAGCUCUAUUUCCUAGCCCCUGGGACAGAGUUACUCUUUUAAAUGUCUAUCCUAUAGAAAUAAAAAAUUAAUUAAUGGGC